ACUGUUAAAAGUGAAGGCCAUGGAGUGUGACAACCUGUGUUCUAGUUCUAAAAGCUGGGUGAUGUUGAACAAAUUUAUUAUUGCCUGUGUGCCUCGAGUUUCCUCACCUGUAAAAAAGAGCAGAGUCUGCGAUCUUCUCAGCACAGACGUUUGGACAGAGCAGGCUCUUAAGUUCUCCAGAAUGCCUGUCCCAGCCUCCUGGUCCCACCUUCCUGGUCCUUUCCUGCUGAUGACACUACUGCUGGGGGCACUCACAGGAGUGUUGGGUGAGGAGGAGCUGCAGGUGAUUCAGCCUAAGAAGUCCGUGUUGGUUGCAGCUGGAGAUUCGGCCACUCUGAACUGCACUGUGACCUCCCUGAUCCCUGUGGGGCCCAUCCAGUGGUUCAGAGGAGCUGGACCAGGCCGGGAAUUAAUCUACCACCAGAAAGAAGGCCACUUCCCCCGGGUAACAGCUGUUUCAGACCCCACAAAGAGAAACAACAUGGACUUUUCCAUCCGCAUCAGUAACAUCACCCCAGCAGAUGCUGGCACCUACUACUGUGUGAAGUUCCGGAAAGGGAGCCCCUAUGUGGAGUUGAAGUCUGGAGCAGGCACUGAGCUGUCUGUGCGUGGAGUGGUGGGUGAGGAGGAGCUGCAGGUGAUUCAGCCUAAGAAGUCCGUAUCAGUUGCAGCUGGAGAGUCGGCCACUCUGAACUGCACUGUGACCUCCCUGAUCCCUGUGGGUCCCAUCCAGUGGUUCAGAGGAGCUGGACCAGGCCGGGAAGUAAUCUACCAUCAGAAAGAAGGCCACUUCCCCCGGGUAACAACUGUUUUAGACCCCACAAAGAGAAACAACAUGGACUUUUCCAUUCGCAUCAGUAACAUCACCCCAGCAGAUGCCGGCACCUACUACUGUGUGAAGUUCCGGAAAGGGAGCCCCGAUGUGGAGUUGAAGUCUGGAGCAGGCACUGAGCUGUCUGUGCGUGGAGUGUUGGGUGAGGAGGAGCUGCAGGUGAUUCAGCCUGAGAAGUCCGUGUCAGUCGCAGCUGGAGAUUCGGCCACUCUGAACUGCACUAUGACCUCCCUGAUCCCUGUGGGGCCCACCCAGUGGUUCAGAGGAGCUGGACCAGGCCGGGAAUUAAUCUACAGUCAGAAAGAAGGCCACUUCCCCCGGGUAACAGCUGUUUCAGACCCCACAAAGAGAAGCAACAUGGACUUUUCCAUCCGCAUCAGUAACAUCACCCCAGCAGAUGCCGGCACCUACUACUGUGUGAAGUUCCGGAAAGGGAGCCCCGACGUGGAGUUGAAGUCUGGAGCAGGCACUGAGCUGUCUGUGCGUGCCAAACCCUCUGCCCCCGUGGUAUCGGGCCCCACAGCGAGGGCCACAGCUGAGCACACAGUGAGCUUUACCUGCGAGUCCCACGGCUUCUCCCCCAAAGACAUCACCCUGAAAUGGUUCAAAAAUGGGAAUGAGCUCUCAGACUUCCAGACCAAAGUGGACCCCGCAGGAGAGAGCGUGUCCUACAGCAUCCGCAGCACAGCCAGGGUGGUGCUGACCCGCGGGGACGUUCGCUCUCAAGUCAUCUGCGAGGUGGCCCAUGUCACCUUGCAGGGGGACCCUCUUCGUGGGACUGCCAACUUGUCUGAGGCCAUCCGAGUUCGACCCACCUUGGAGGUUGCUCAACAGCCCAUGAGGGCAGAGAACCAGACGAACGUCACCUGCCAAGUGAGGAAGUUCUACCCCCAGAGACUGCAGCUGACCUGGUUGGAGAAUGGAAAUGUGUCCCGGACAGAAAUAGCUUCGACCCUCAUAGAAAACAAGGAUGGUACCUACAACUGGAUGAGCUGGCUCCUGGUGAACACCUGUGCCCACAGGAAUGGUGUGGUGCUCACCUGCCAGGUGGAACAUGAUGGGCAGCCAGCGGUUAGCAAAAGCCAUACCCUGGAGGUCUCAGCCCACCAGAAAGAACAGUGCUCAGAUACCACUUCUGGCUCCAGGAGAUAACAAUCUACACUGCUGCCAAGAAGUCCUCUGGUUUUCACACUGGGCCUUAAUUCAUGAUAAGUUACUUUUAGCUUUUCAUCAUCUUUCCCCAAAGAACUGAUGCCCAGCAACAGCCAUCAAACAUCUUAGUCCUCAUAACUACCAUUUCCCAAUCCAGUUUCAAACGGCUGAUGCCAAGGAAUUUCUUCCGACUUCACUGCCAGCGAAAGUUGUAUUAAUUGCACCAUAGCUGCAAGCCAGGGCCAGCCCAGCUCCACUCACUACCAGCCCUGGGGUCCUCAUUGCCAGCUAAUCUUGAUGAGUGGUCAGUUUCCAAACUUACAUUUUAGAGUCUACUUUUCAGACCAUUUCCACUGUCAGUUUUGCUAGGAGGUCAACUGGAGGUGGAUACAGGAAUUCAGGAAGCACGUUAGAGAGCUGUCAGGGUCAAUAUGCCUGAGGGAGUAGGGCAGAAGUGUAGGAAAGGGACGUGCUGAGCCACAGUGCAGGCAGGACAAAGACCCAGCUGUUUCUUCAAAGAAGCCAAGGGCUGAGAGAGUCCCUUAGAGUUGUGUUAAUUGAGGAGAGCGGCGUGGACUUCCUAUUUUCAAUUCAGCCAAUCUUUCUAUGGGCUGCUCCAUAGAAGGAGGAGUGAACUUGGAGAGUGCAACUCUCCUCAAGGGAGACAAAGUUCCAGAGAGCCACCCAGCUGAGAACUGCCGGCCUCCAACAUUCCAGCCACAGAUGCUGAGAUCUCCAUUCCUUCCUUAAGGACCCACCAGCACCAUUUUAUUUCCCAGAAAACAUACAUGAAAACAGAAGUAAACAUAACUUCAUUUGUUUGCUUUUAACAGCAAAAAAAUGCUCAUUGUAAAAAUGCAAAGAAUCCAAAUGUGUGCUCCCCCAGACCUGACUGUCUGUCCAACAGAGAGAUUUCAGAUGGCACCCGCUCUGGGGUCGAGGAGAGCUUGAUGUCUGAGUCCCUUCCAAGCAUGAGAGUCAUGCUUUGACUUACCAGGGUGUUUUCUAUCCAACACAGUAUAUUAGGCCCAGCCCCUCAAGGGCCUCCCCAGCUCUCAAAAACACGGGGUCCCCCCUCACUGCUGGGGCUAAACAGGGCAGCCUGCAAAUCUUUCACUUUGAAGCCAUCCUCAUAUAAACAAAAAGCAUGUUAGUUGCUUGCUGCAUGUAGAAUCCAAUCAAGGAGAGUGAGGUCUGAUACAAAAAAAAGUGAAUUUAUUCCAAAGCUAGGCUGGGGAAAGGGCACAAAGUGUCCUGCCUUUAAAUGUGCCACUUCCCCUUUGGAGCAGAAAGCAGACACUUUCAUAAGGUAAUGGGGAUGGGACCAAGGGCAGGGGUCCCUCUGCUAGUGCCUGGUGACUUAGCUACCCGACAGUUGAGUUGGCGCCAUCCUGGGCAGAAGUCAGUUGUAAAAGUGGCCAAGGGGGCAUGCUUUCCAUAUGCCCUCUUGGUGGAUGAAAGUCUGGAAGCUACCCCUGGAGGUGAAGUUUCCGUGGUGGGUAUGCUUUGGUGUGCCAACUUGCCAGGAGAGAUCUGUCUUGGAGCACACAAAAGAACUUGCCCUGCAGGGAAUAUCUGGUGAGGGGUAGGUGAAAGGUUAUAUUUGCAUUUCUGAAGGGCUAAUUAGGAAACUGGGAGCAGGGGGAAACGGGAAAGAAAACAAAGAGAAAAUAAACUACCUCUUAGCAAACUGGGGGUACUCGGUUAUACUCAUGACCCCUACCUGCCCUUUCAUAAUUGUUCCUAUGACCCUGCAAAAUUGGACUUGUCUUGUUCAAAAGGACACAGUCUCAGGAAUCAUCCUAAGGGACCUAAUGAUGGGCUUCCAUAAGUUUGGAUGCAAGUAACCUUGUGACCCUCCCUAAAUUUUCUGAACCUAAUCUCCCCAUCAGAAUGGAAUAAUAAACCCUGCCCUACAGGCUUGUGAGGAUCAAGUGAGGGACUCAGGUGCCACACAUAUGAAUACGUGAGUACACAUUCUGUCCAUUUUGUCCCUCCGGGAGGACAGCCUGGCAGCCUGGGACAGGGUAAGGGAAUGAGGAACCUCUUUCCCUGGCUUCUGCCUUAUGUUGCAGCUAAGGCAGCCAGGGUAAGAUGCAGUUUCCAAAGAUUUGGAGCAGUGACAGUCCCAGGUAGCCUCAGAUGGGGUAAGUGGGGUCCUCUGGGAUGGCAUCCUGGGUAGCCCCUUCCUAACUUCUGUCUCCUGAUUACCAGGCCCAGUACUGGCUCCCACUGCUCCACUUCUCAUAGCUCUCCUCCUGGGCCCCAAGGUGCUGCUGGUGGUUGGUGUCUCUGUCAUCUAUGUCUACUGGAAGCAGAAGGACUGACUCUCCUUCCCUCCUCCCCUGCCUCAUGGGAGCCCCAGUCUCUGCCGCCUCCUUCCUUCCUUGAAGGGCUCUGACUGAAGAAGGGGCUGGUGAGAAGCUUCCUCAGACUCAGCUCCAAAUGCCUCCCCUCCCAGGACAUCUUCCUGCCCACAGGUUCCUGUUGCUCCUUUGCAGAGUCCUUGAUUCUCCAGAGCAGUCUUCAUUCAUGGUCCUGAGCAGAGGCCAUGGGAUGGGGCUCUGGGGAGUGACUCAUGACACCUCCCUAGGAUGUGGGAAACACGCCAAAUCUAAACCCAUCAGGACACCUCUCCUCCAUCAUCUUGGACUGUCCAUAAGCCACAAACUGCAGUUCAGAUUCUCAAGAGUUAUUCUACCUUCUGGAUUCCUGCCUACCCAAUUACCCAGCCUUGUUGAGAUUCUCUAUUGCCUGCUGAAUACAAAUUAACACUCAUCCUGGUUUUAAGGAGAAAAAAUGAUUCUCCUUCCUCUUUGUUUAAACAUAUGAUAUAGUUUGGAUAUUUUUCCCCUACAAAUCUCAAUGUGAAAUUUCAUCCCCUACGUGGGAGGUGGGGUCAGGUGGGAGGUGUUUGGGUCAUGGGGAUGGAUUCAUCAUGAAUGACUUGGUGCUAUUUUGGUCUAUUAGUACCCACAAGAUCUGAUUGUUUAUAAGUGCCUAGCAGCUCCCUCUUCUCUCUUUCUCUUCCUCUCUCCCCAUGUUAUGCCAACUCCACUUCACUGUCCACUGUGAGUAGAAGCACUCUGAGGCCCUCCUCAGCAGCAGAUGCAAGUACCAUGCUUCUUGUACAGUCUGCAGAACCAAAAGCCAAAUAAACCUCUUCUUUAUAAAUUA